AUUGAACGCUGGCGGCAGGCCUAACACAUGCAAGUCGAACGGUAACAGGAAGCAUCUUGCUUCUUUGCUGACGAGUGGCGGACGGGUGAGUAAUGUCUGGGAAACUGCCUGAUGGAGGGGGAUAACUACUGGAAACGGUAGCUAAUACCGCAUAACGUCGCAAGACCAAAGAGGGGGACCUUCGGGCCUCUCGCCAUCGGCUGUGCCCAGAUGGGAUUAGCUAGUAGGUGGGGUAACGGCUCACCUAGGCGACGAUCCCUAGCUGGUCUGAGAGGAUGACCAGCCACACUGGAACUGAGACACGGUCCAGACUCCUACGGGAGGCAGCAGUGGGGAAUAUUGCACAAUGGGCGCAAGCCUGAUGCAGCCAUGCCGCGUGUAUGAAGAAGGCCUUCGGGUUGUAAAGUACUUUCAGCGGGGAGGAAGGGAGUAAAGUUAAUACCUUUGCUCAUUGACGUUACCCGCAGAAGAAGCACCGGCUAACUCCGUG
rnacentral:rRNA from 1 species